rnacentral:rRNA from 1 species
GGCGGCGUGCCUAAUACAUGCAAGUCGAGCGCAGGAAGCAAGCUGAUCCCUUCGGGGUGACGCUUGUGGAAUGAGCGGCGGACGGGUGAGUAACACGUGGGCAACCUGCCUUGUAGACUGGGAUAACUCCGGGAAACCGGAGCUAAUACCGGAUGACCAACGGAAUCGCAUGAUUCUGUUGUAAAAGUGGGGAUUUAUCCUCACACUACGAGAUGGGCCCGCGGCGCAUUAGCUAGUUGGUAAGGUAAUGGCUUACCAAGGCAACGAUGCGUAGCCGACCUGAGAGGGUGAUCGGCCACACUGGAACUGAGACACGGUCCAGACUCCUACGGGAGGCAGCAGUAGGGAAUCAUCCGCAAUGGGCGAAAGCCUGACGGUGCAACGCCGCGUGAACGAUGAAGGUUUUCGGAUCGUAAAGUUCUGUUAUGAGGGAAGAACAAGUGCCGUUCGAAUAGGGCGGCACCUUGACGGUACCUCACGAGAAAGCCCCGGCUAACUACGUG